AGUGAACGCUGGCGGUAGGCCUAACACAUGCAAGUCGAACGGCAGCACAGUAAGAGCUUGCUCUUACGGGUGGCGAGUGGCGGACGGGUGAGGAAUACAUCGGAAUCUACUUUUUCGUGGGGGAUAACGUUGGGAAACUUACGCUAAUACCGCAUACGACCUACGGGUGAAAUCAGGGGAUCUUCGGACCUUGCGCGAUUGAAUGAGCCGAUGUCGGAUUAGCUAGUUGGCGGGGUAAAGGCCCACCAAGGCGACGAUCCGUAGCUGGUCUGAGAGGAUGAUCAGCCACACUGGAACUGAGACACGGUCCAGACUCCUACGGGAGGCAGCAGUGGGGAAUAUUGGACAAUGGGCGCAAGCCUGAUCCAGCCAUACCGCGUGGGUGAAGAAGGCCUUCGGGUUGUAAAGCCCUUUUGUUGGGAAAGAAAAGCAGCAGGUUAAUACCCCGCUGUUCUGACGGUACCCAAAGAAUAAGCACCGGCUAACUUCGUG
rnacentral:rRNA from 1 species